rnacentral:rRNA from 1 species
UAACGCAUUAAGCACUCCGCCUGGGGAGUACGGCCGCAAGGCUGAAACUCAAAGGAAUUGAUCGGGGGCCCGCACAAGCGGUGGAGCAUGUGGUUUAAUUUCGAAGCAACGCGAAGAACCUUACCCAGGUCUUGACAUCCUCUGACACUCCUAGAGAUAGGACUUUCCCCUUCGGGGGACAGAGUGACAGGUGGUGCAUGGUUGUCGUCAGCUCGUGUCGUGAGAUGUUGGGUUAAGUCCCGCAACGAGCGCAACCCUUGAUCUUAGUUGCCAGCAUUCAGUUGGGCACUCUAAGGUGACUGCCGGUGACAAACCGGAGGAAGGUGGGGAUGACGUCAAAUCAUCAUGCCCCUUAUGACCUGGGCUACACACGUGCUACAAUGGAUGGUACAAAGGGCAGCGAAGCCGCGAGGUGGAGCCAAUCCCAUAAAACCAUUCUCAGUUCGGAUUGCAGGCUGCAACUCGCCUGCAUGAAGCAGGAAUCGCUAGUAAUCGCGGAUCAGCAUGCCGCGGUGAAUACGUUCCCGGGCCUUGUACACACC